rnacentral:lncRNA from 1 species
CUGGCUUGUAUGCUCCAAGUGACUGUGUAGGCUGAGUUUACACUGUGUCUGUUCUGACAUAACAAAAUUACAUUGAAAAGGCAUUGGAGAGGUGAGUAAUAGUCUGAACAGGAUUAUUGAAGAAAGAACUUUCUGGGAUAACACGUGGUAAAGAAAGAUGGGGGUGGGGAAUGGGAGAGGGGAGAGAGAGAGAGUAGGGGAGAGGGAGCAAGCCAUUUGGAGGUCUAUGAUCCAAUGCUGUAAUUCUGGCGCAGUGGCACAUACCUGUAUCCCAGUCCUCAGUGGUGGACAAAGGAUGAUCAGAAGUUUAAGAUCAGCCUUCUCUUACAGUGUGACUUCUUUCAUUUUUAUGGCUGAAACAAUAUAUUCCACUCCAUAUGCACCACAUUUUCUUUCUUCAUUUCUUUGUUGUUGGACACCCAAGGUGGUUCUGUAACUUAGCUCUUGUGAAUGGAGCUGCUAGGCAUGUUGACUUGAAGUUGUUUGGGGGAAAUACUGGGGAAAACAGCCUGUUCAUAUGAAAGACUCAUGCUUGGUGUUGUUGGAAAUCUCCAUCCCGAUUUGCACGGUGGGUCAACUUUACACAGACACCAGCAGUGUGUGAGGAUCCCCUUCUGUCCACAUCCUUGCCAGCAUUUGUUAUUUAUGUUUCUCAAUGACUGCUGUCUGAUUGGGUUAGAUGGAUCUCAACAUAGUCUCUUGAUUUGUGCUUCUUUGACUGCUGGUGAAGUUGAAUUUCUUUCCAUGUGUUUAUGGGUCGUUUGUAUUUCAUCUUUUGAAGACUGACCAUUCCAUUAGCCUACCUAUCUACUGCUUUGUUUGAAGCAUUCACCAUUUUUUAAUUCAAGUAGCAGGGUGGUGACAGACUUAUGCUGACUUCCAAGUCUAAAGAGUGAAGUAUCUCUAGUCAUACAAAACCGCUUUUAUACUUCAUCAAGAUGCCACCGUGUUACCUGAUAAUCAUGUAUCUCCAAUCCUGCACACUGCCUAGACGAGGAGAAGUUCAUGGCUGGGACUAGCG